rnacentral:rRNA from 1 species
GACGAACGCUGGCGGCGUGCCUAAUACAUGCAAGUCGAACGGUCUUUUCUAUGGAAGCUUGCUUCCACUGAGAAGAUAGUGGCGAACGGGUGAGUAACACGUGGGUAACCUGCCCAUAAGAGGGGGAUAACAUCCGGAAACGGGUGCUAAUACCGCAUAGGUUUCUUGGUCGCAUGAUCGAGAAAGGAAGACGGCCUUUGUGCUGUCGCUUAUGGAUGGACCCGCGGCGUAUUAGUUAGUUGGUGAGGUAAUAGCUCACCAAGGCGACGAUCAGUAGCCGAUCUGAGAGGAUGACCGGCACACUGGAACUGAGACACGGUCCAGACUCCUACGGGA